AAGUUUUUCGGAUGGAUCUGAUUUAACUUAGUGGCGAACGGGUGAGUAACACGUAGGUAACCUGCCCAUGUGCCCGGGAUAACUUCUGGAAACGGAUGCUAAAACCGGAUAGGUAGCAGACAAGCAUUUGACUGCUAUUAAAGUGGCCUUGGCCAUGAACAUGGAUGGACCUGCGGUGCAUUAGCUAGUUGGUGAGGUAACGGCCCACCAAGGCGACGAUCAGUAGCCGGACUGAGAGGUUGACCGGCCACAUUGGGACUGAGAUACGGCCCAAACUCC
rnacentral:rRNA from 1 species